UACGAAGGGUGCAAACGUUGUUCGGAAUUAUUGGGCGUAAAGCGCGUGUAGGCGGCUUUGCAAGUCGGGUGUGAAAUCCCUCAGCUCAACUGAGGAAGUGCGCCCGAAACUGCAGAGCUUGAGUGCCGGAGAGGAUGGCGGAAUUCCCCAAGUAGAGGUGAAAUUCGUAGAUAUGGGGAGGAACACCGGUAGCGAAGGCGGCCAUCUGGACGGCAACUGACGCUGAGACGCGAAAGCGUGGGUAGCAAACAGG
rnacentral:rRNA from 1 species